rfam:Clostridium chauvoei JF4335, WGS project CBML01000000 data, contig: 00001
UAAUGUUAGGUCUGUGGAUGAAAGUCGAUGCCAGUCGCAGGCGAAACGAUCCACGUAAGUUAGGAAAAGAUUCUGAUGAGCAUGGUGCGGUAUAGAUGUAAGUCCUACCAAUGAAAGUUGAGAGUGUUAGUAGUGAGAGGUUAAGUCCGAGUAGCAAAAGCUCCAGUAGGCGAGUGUGGGGGCAAAAUCCAGGUCAGCUAGCAUUA